rnacentral:rRNA from 1 species
GACGGAGGGGGCUAGCGUUGUUCGGAAUUACUGGGCGUAAAGGGCGCGUAGGCGGCUCUUCAAGUUAGGCGUGAAAGCCCUGGGCUUAACCUAGGAAUUGCGUUUAAUACUGGAGAGCUAGAGAUUGGUAGAGGGAAAUGGAAUUCCUAGUGUAGAGGUGAAAUUCGUAGAUAUUAGGAAGAACACCAGAGGCGAAGGCGGUUUCCUGGGCCAACACUGACGCUGAGGCGCGAAAGCGUGGGGAG